rnacentral:rRNA from 1 species
CUCCUACGGGAGGCAGCAGUGGGGAAUAUUGGACAAUGGGGGAAACCCUGAUCCAGCGACGCCGCGUGUGUGAAGAAGGCCUGCGGGUUGUAAAGCACUUUUAGUGGGGAUGAAAAGCUCAGGGCUAAUACUCCUGGGUCUUGACCUAACCCAAAGAAAAAGCACCGGCUAACUCUGUGCCAGCAGCCGCGGUAAUACAGAGGGUGCGAGCGUUAAUCGGAAUUACUGGGCGUAAAGCGUGCGUAGACGGUUAUUUAAGUCGGGUGUGAAAGCCCCGGGCUCAACCUGGGAAUUGCAUUCGAGACUGAAUAGCUAGGGUGCGGAAGAGGGAAGCGGAAUUUCCGGUGUAGCGGUGAAAUGCGUAGAUAUCGGAAGGAACAUCAGUGGCGAAAGCGGCUUCCUGGUCCAGCACCGACGUUCAGGCACGAAAGCGUGGGGAGCAAACAGGAUUAGAUACCCUGGUAGUCCACGCCAUAAACGAUGAGAACUAGACGUUGAGAGGGUUAGCCUCCCAGUGUCGUAGCUAACGCGCUAA